UGCGUAGGCGGCGAUGUAAGUCAGAUGUGAAAUCCCCGGGCUCAACUCGGGUUCUGCAUUUGAAACUACAUUGCUUGAGUGCAGGAGAGGAAAGCGGAAUUCCUAGUGUAGCGGUGAAAUGCGUAGAUAUUAGGAAGAACACCAGUGGCGAAGGCGGCUUUCUGGACUGUAACUGACGCUGAGGCACGAAAGCGUGGGGAGCAAACAGGAUUAGAUACCCUGGUAGUCCACGCUGUAAACGAUGGAUACUAGGUGUGGGGGACAUACAACCUCUGUGCCGGAGCAAACGCAAUAAGUAUCCCGCCUGGGGAGUACGGUCGCAAGACUGAA
rnacentral:rRNA from 1 species